rnacentral:rRNA from 1 species
AACCAUUGACCUCGUAUAAAGUAAGAGUACCCGCUGAACUUAAGCAUAUCAAUAAGCGGAGGAAAAGAAACCAACAGGGAUUGCCUUAGUAGCGGCGAGUGAAGCGGCAAAAGCUCAGAUUUGAAAUCUGCCUCACGGCCGAGUUGUAAUCUGUAGAUGGCUACUCUGUAACAAGUCUUUGCUCAAGUUUUCUGGAAAGGAACAUCAUGGAGGGUGAUAAUCCCGUGAGGCAUUGGCGUCGUUGCGUGUAGAGGGUCAUCAAAGAGUCGAGUUGUUUGGGAAUGCAGCUCAAAGCGGGUGGUAGACACCAUCUAAAGCUAAAUAUUGGCGAGAGACCGAUAGCGAACAAGUACUGUGAAGGAAAGAUGAAAAGCACUUUGAAAAGAGAGUGAAAAAGUACGUGAAAUUAUUGAUACAGAAGGAUAUGCCAUUGGACGUUAUGUUUGGGCAUGCUUGUGCUUCGGCGCAGGUGUAACCCUCUCAUUUUACCAGCAUCAGUUUCGGCAGGAGGACAAACAACGCGGAAUGUAGCUGCUUGCAGUGUUAUAGACGUGUUGCAUACUCUUUGCUGGGACUGAGGCCCGCCAUUGCAGGAUGCUGGGGUAACGAUGGCAUAUCACCCGUCUUGAAACACGGACC